rnacentral:rRNA from 1 species
UACGUAGGGACCGAGCGUUGUCCGGAAUCAUUGGGCGUAAAGCGCGUGUAGGCGGUUCGAUAAGUCUGCUGUGAAAGUCCAGGGCUCAACCCUGGAAAGCCGGUGGAUACUGUCAGACUAGAGUGCGGAAGAGGCGAGUGGAAUUCCCGGUGUAGCGGUGAAAUGCGCAGAUAUCGGGAGGAACACCAAUUGCGAAGGCAGCUCGCUGGGACGUUACUGACGCUGAGACGCGAAAGCGUGGGGAGCAAACAGG